rnacentral:rRNA from 1 species
CCCCUAGACGUUCCGGGCUGCACGCGCGCUACAAUAAUACGCACAGCGAGUAUCACCGAGCUCGAAAGGGCAAGGUAAACAAUAGAAAAGGUACUGUAAUGGUUAUAGAUCCUUGUAAUUAUUGAUCUUCAACGAGGAAUUCCUAGUAAGUAUGUGUCAUCAUCACGCACUGAUUACGUCCCUGCCCUUUGUACACACCGCCCGUCGCUCCUACCGAUUGGGUGAGCCGAUGAAACUCUCGGAUGUAGGCUAUUCAUAGCCCGCAGAAGAGAUUUGAAUCGUAGCGCUUAGAGGAAGGAGAAGUCGUAACA